rnacentral:rRNA from 1 species
CCUACGGGCGGCAGCAGUGAGGAAUAUUGGACAAUGGGCGUAAGCCUGAACCAGCAAAGCCGCGUGAGGGAUGAAGGUUCUAUGGAUCGUAAACCUCUUUUAUAAGGGAAUAAAGUGUGGGACGUGUCCUGUUUUGUAUGUACCUUAUGAAUCAGGAUCGGCUAACUCCGUGCCAGCAGCCGCGGUAAUACGGAGGAUCCGAGCGUUAUCCGGAUUUAUUGGGUUUAAAGGGUGCGUAGGCGGCCUUUUAAGUCAGCGGUGAAAGUCUGUGGCUCAACCAUAGAAGUGCCGUUGAAACUGGGAGGCUUGAGUAUGGUUGAGGCAGGCGGAAUGCGUGGUGUAGCGGUGAAAUGCUUAGAUAUCACGCAGAACCCCGAUUGCGAAGGCAGCCUGCCAAGCCAUGACUGACGCUGAUGCACGAAAGCGUGGGGAUCAAACAGGAUUAGAUACCCUUGUAGUC